GGGUGCAUCUCAUAUAUGCGUCGGAGAAGACAACACAUAUAAUAACAUAGUGCAUAGAGAUAAAUGUCAUAAAUAUCAUAAAUGUACUUAUUACAUAGCGGAAGUCUUACAAAAAUAAAUGAUAAAGUAAAGCGAACUAAAUAUUAUUUCCUGGCGCCACAAAGCUGACUGAGAGACGCCACCUAGAUCAAGUCGAAAGCCUCAGUGUUAGGCGGCUCCUCUUCGACCACCUGUUCUUCUCCUGUGGGGGGUGUGAGACAGCAAGAGUGAGCUCACACAUGUUCAUCGUUCAACAAGUUGUGGGGAAUAAUGUGGCAUGAACUCGCCAAAGGUGGGAGUUCAUGUGAAGUGUAAGGCUAAUCAACAAAAUGAAGGUUGAAGCUGAGCAUUGAUUUUAUAAAGUGGUCAAAAUUUUAUUAGCAGUUACUAAGUGUAAGUAAAUACCAAACCAUAGUAAUAAUAAGUAAAAGUAAUAAUAAAAUAAUCCCAAUGCAAUGAAAUGACAAAUUGAAUUUAAGUUUUAUAAAUUAAUCAUGUGAGUGUCCGAGCCGCUCAUGACCGUGAGCACAGCUAGUAUACCAGUUUUACACUCUGCAGAGGUUGCACAUCUUUACCCACAAGUCGUGUUACCCAUUUGCCACGGAGUUGAUCAGACUCCAUACACCUCUAUCUAGGAAGCGAGGCAGGGUACCACUACGAGGCCUUUACAAAGUUCCACUAGCUUCAGAAAACCCGCUACAGUUUAUAGGAAGCUCCAGUGCAGGAAUCCCUCGCCUGACCGUCAUCGCAGCAAAAUCAACCCAAGGACCUCCCUGAACUGACCACUCCCCUACUGCCCUUGCCCCUUUCGGGUAAGGUAAUCAUCCACUAGCUUUUCUAGUUAAUCAGCCAAGGGCAUCCCAUUAAACCCUUGUGGUAGCACUGUUUUCCCGGGUGGUUCUCCAUGUUCCCAUUAACAUAAUGAUCUUAUCAUGAACAGUAAAUAAUAAACAGAUAAUAAAAAGUAUAACAAUGAGUGAUGAAUAUCAUAAAGCAAUAGCCUGUAUUACCCAAAAAUUUAGUAGUAAAACCAGUGGUGAAACAAGGUAUAAAGAUAGUAAAAAUCUAGGGUAACCUAUUGGGUCCCAUCAAAAUUAACCUAUGCAGGUCAUUAUGAUUAAUAAGAACAUGACUGGGUAAAAAGAAGUGAUCAAGGGCACAACUUGACUUCAACGAGCUCCUGCUCAGCAACUUCUACCUGCUGGGCACCAGGAUCCUCUGUGGCUUGCUCGUAUACUCGCACCAAUACAAACGUACAUAGUAUAGCAAAAAUUAACAUCACACUAAGCAAUAUAACAGAAUACAUGAUAAUAUUCUACGCUGCGUAACGAGAUCGUAGAAACAAGAACCACUAAAUUCGAAACUACAGUUAUUAAGUUGUGAAUUUCCGAAGUUAUUUGGUGCUUAGAAUAGGUUAAUCCAAACGAACAAUUUUAAUUCAAGUUUUCAUGGCUAAACAGUGGCACUAGAUGAUAGACAAUAUUCUUACAAGACUAAUGCAACUAGAACAGGUCAAAAAGGAUUAAAAAUGGAAUUUCUAGGAAUUAAACAAAUUCUAAAAUUAUUUUUACCUUAAAAAUCAUUAAUUCCCUUGGUUUUCCUACUGUUCUGGUCCACACGCAUUAAUACUCAGGAGUCCCGGGGCUAAUUCAUAAUUGUUCCAAGACUCAGAGUUAACCCACAGCCAUGCUCAUCGGACCGCGGGUCCUAUUUACGUAAAGGCUGAGGGUUCAUAUGCAAAACUGCAAUCGCGAAGGGGUAUCGGUUGAUGUGGGCCGUUCAGAUCAGAUCCAGAGGCCAGGAUUAGAUCGCAUUUUUCCCUAAAGCGGUAUGCCACGAUAGCCGCCGGAUCCCGCAUCUACGGCACAGAUUCUAAAUAUACGUGAUCAACCCAAGACCAUCCGAUCACGAUCCAAUGGAUCUGAUCCCCGCGCGAAGCGCUACCCUUUAUUCUAAUCUGAGACGUUCGUAUGAGAUCAACGGUCAAGAGCAUUACCAGGAAACGUUUGCCUGCGCACGGAUCUCAGUCGUCAGUUUCCUAAUCUACGGAUGCCCUGGCGUCUUCAACCUUUCGCCGCCCAGGCCUAGACACCGCGCCAUACCCGGCUCCCUCUUCCCUGCCGGCCAACCAGCGCUCUGCCCGGCCGAGACCAUCCAGUGGUCACCAUCGCCGUCCUUCGUCGGUGCACCGGCCCCGAGACCGCUUCCUACCCACGCUCCCGCGACGUCCAACGGAUCCCCAAUGUACCGCAUAAAAAGAAAAACCGACUCACCGCAGAUGGGCCAUCGGUAGAUCCCGCCUGCCGCCGACGGCCAAUGCUUCGCCGCCGACGAUCCCGGUAUACGACUGUCCGAACCCCAGACCCGGCACCAGUGUUACUACGCCGGUGAUCGCACUGCUUCCACUCGCACCGCCAAUGGCGAUGAUAAGAGCGUUACGAUUGUGCUCGGGGGAACUAGGGAAGGAAGAGGUGGGCGCAAGCGGUGGAGAGAGCACGACACACCCGGCUUUUAACCACGAAGACGAGGCCACCGAGCUAGGCGCAGAGAAAAUCGGGGCGUCGUUGUAACAACCCCAGCUUCGCGCGCCCGCAACUGUCCAACGGGGAAGAUCUACAGCUUCCCAGGCCCACCCGCAGCGGCACCCACGCGGCGCACGCGGCUGACCGCCCCGGGUCCGCUCAGCAGAGGUCCA
rnacentral:lncRNA from 1 species